GAUGAACGCUGGCGGCGUGCCUAAUACAUGCAAGUCGAGCGAACAGACGAGGAGCUUGCUCCUCUGACGUUAGCGGCGGACGGGUGAGUAACACGUGGAUAACCUACCUAUAAGACUGGGAUAACUUCGGGAAACCGGAGCUAAUACCGGAUAAUAUAUUGAACCGCAGGGUUCAAUAGUGAAAGACGGUUUUGGGGGCACUUAUAGAUGGAUCCGCGCCGCAUUAGCUAGUUGGUAAGGUAACGGCUUACCAAGGCAACGAUGCGUAGCCGAGCUGAGAGGGUGAUCGGCCACACUGGAACUGAGACACGGUCCAGACUCCUACGGGAGGCAGCAGUAGGGAAUCUUCCGCAGUGGGCGAAAGCCUGGCGGAGCAACGCCGCGUGUGUGAUGAAGGUCUUCGGAUCGUAAAACUCUGUUAUUAGGGAAGAACAACUGUGUAAGUAACUAUGCCCGUCUUGACGGUACCUAGUCAGAAAGCCACGGCUAACUACGUG
rnacentral:rRNA from 1 species